rnacentral:lncRNA from 1 species
GUCGCGCGCAGGAUUCGAGAGGGCAACUUCGGCUAUGAAAAUUUUUCUGUACUUCCUUCAUUCGAAAUUCGAACUCGAAAGUAGGAGGACUGGUGUUGGGUAUAAAAUAUCCCCCAAUCGAAGUUCGUGUCAGGAGUGACCCUCCAGAGAUUUUACCGACGCCUGACUUUCGACGACAUCUUUUCGAACCUCUCCGACAGCCGAGCCUCUGCAACAUUCCCAAGUUCUGCCGACAGAUAAACCCCUACC